CUAUUUUCCAGGGUAAAGGAGUUGGUCUUUCACAAACCUAAUCACGGAAAAGACUCCAGAUAACGAGGUGUUAAAUUAACUGUAAAAAUGUGGCCACACUGAGCGAUCCCUUUAUGAGGUAUGAAUGAGUCCCUUGAGUGAAUCAGAAAGGAAGCAAUGCCAUAAUAUGAAGAAUAACAGGCCACACCUCUGAGUGACCUUUAAAAGUCAGUUCAGUGAGUCCAGGAGAGAGAUUCAAAGAACUCCACUCCUGAUGGGACUAAUAGAAGAUACACAGGGCUGGGGCAGGGAGGAGCGGGGGAUGAUGAAACUUUAGGAAAUCCUAUGGAUGUGGGAAAGCAGAAGCUUGAGGAGAGCACCUGCCAUAGAAUGGGGCUCCAGAAGUAAGGCUACUCGAGUUAAUCUAACAUGAGAUUGAAGGACAACUGAUGGACCAGACAGUGAGUUCCAUCGAUAUCCAAACAAUAUCAAGAAAUCUAAAAGAAACUCCCUGUCCCUCUUCCACUACCACCCUACCUCUGCGCAUUAUGUCCUGAGAUGCUUUAUGGAAGCUUUACUUGAGAUAAUGGACAAGAGUCACUUUGCAUAAUAAGGAUGGAACCCAUUAUAAAAAUUCUAGAAGAAAAAACAGUGGACUUGAGUCAAGAAAACUUGUUGCUAGAACCAAUCUACUUAAUGAUCGUGUGAUCUGAGGGGAAGGUCCCCAGCACAGUAAACUGGACCGUGUUGAUUCCCAUCAACAAGCAUUUAUUAUGGACUUAAUGUGUCAGAAUUGUGCUAGCCAUGGGAAAUGCCAUGCCAUCAAAGAUGAAGCACAUCCUUCUGUCAGUCAGUAAACAUCAAAAGUGGAAAGUGGCAGGCUCAGGUUAUAUAUAUAGAGAGAGAGAUCAUCUCCCCUGCUUUGGCAACAAUCUCCUUCUGCAAGCCCUUUGCCUGGAGCUGGGGCCGACCAAGGCUUCGCCAAGGAAGGUAUGUGAGCCACAGAAGCCUAAUUCUACAGGUCUAAGAGAAAAUGUAUCAAAGCACAAAAGUCCCCCAAACUGAUCGGGGCUUGUUGGUGGGCCCGUGUGUAUUUUCAUGUCUGAGUGCUGUCUUGUGAUCUCUACAUAACCUUUGCAACAGGAGCGCAUAUUUCACCCUUCCACACUAGCACUCCCAUUUUUUUUGUCAUUCCAAUCUCAUUUCCUGGGCUAUGUGGACUGCGGGCUCAGCAGUCGCUCGAGUCUGAAGUGACUCCUGGGACCUCCUUACUGUUCUAUAUGCAAAUAGGCCUGCACCUGGGCAGCAGAGCGGGCUUGCCGACAGUUUAGU
rnacentral:lncRNA from 1 species